AACGUACGCUGGCGGCACGCCUAACACAUGCAAGUCGAACGAAGUAGCAAUACUUAGUGGCAGACGGGUGAGUAACAUGUNGGUAUCUGCCCUUUGGCCUGGAAUAACACGAGGAAACUUGUGCUAAUACCGGAUAAGUCUUUACGGAGAAAGCUUUAUGCACCAUUGGAUGAGCCUGCACUUGAUUAGUUUGUNGGUGGGGUAAUGGCCUACCAAGNCUGUGAUCAAUAGCUGAUUUGAGAGGAUGAUCANCCACAUUGGGACUGAGACACGGCCCAAACUCCUACGGGAGGCAGCAGUGGGGAAUCUUGCACAAUGGAGGAAACUCUGAUGCAGCGAUNCNGCGUGAGUGAAGAAGGCCUUUGGGUUGUAAAGNUCUUUCGUCGGGGAAGAAAAUGACUGUACCCGAAUAAGAAGGUCCGGCNAACUUCGUGCCAGCAGCCGCGGUAAUACGAAGGGACCUAGCGUAGUUCGGAAUUACUGGGCUUAAAGAGUUCGUAGGNGGUUGAAAAAGUUAGUGGUGAAAUCCCAGAGCUUAACUCUGGAACUGCCAUUAAAACUUUUCAGCUAGAGUAUGAUAGAGGAAAGCAGAAUUUCUAGUGUAGAGGUGAAAUUCGUAGAUAUUAGAAAGAAUACCAAUUGCGAAGGCAGCUUUC
rnacentral:rRNA from 1 species